rnacentral:rRNA from 1 species
GAUGAACGCUGGCGGCGUGCCUAAUACAUGCAAGUCGAGCGAACGGACGCGAAGCUUGCUUCUCUGAUGUUAGAGGCGGACGGGUGAGUAACACGUGGAUAACCUACCUAUAAGACUGGGAUAACUUCGGGAAACCGGAUCUAAUACCGGAUAAUACUUUGAACCGCAUGGUUCAAGAGUGAAAGACGUUUUUUCUGUCACUUAUAGAUGGAUUCGCGCUGCAUGAGCUAGUUGGUAAGGUAACGGCUUACCAAGGCAACGGUGCAUAGGCGACCUGAGAGGGUGAUCGGCCACACUGGCACUGAGACACGGUCCAGACUCCUACGGGAGGCAGCAGUAGGGAAUCUGCCGCAAUGGGCGAGAGCCUGACGGAGCCACGCCGCGUGAGUGAUGAAGGUCUUCGGAUCGUAAAACUCUGUUAUUAGGGAAGAACAUAUGUGUAAGUAACUGUGCACAGCUUGACGGUACCUAAUCAAGAAGCCACGGCUAACUACGUG